rnacentral:rRNA from 1 species
GACGAACGCUGGCGGCGUGCUUAACACAUGCAAGUCGAACGGAAAGGCCCUGCUUUUGUGGGGUGCUCGAGUGGCGAACGGGUGAGUAACACGUGAGUAACCUGCCCUUGACUUUGGGAUAACUUCAGGAAACUGGGGCUAAUACCGGAUAGGAGCUCCUGCUGCAUGGGGGGGGUUGGAAAGUUUCGGUGGUUGGGGUUGGACUCGCGGCUUAUCAGCUUGUUGGUGGGGUAGUGGCUUACCAAGGCUUUGACGGGUAGCCGGCCUGGGAGGGUGACCGGCCACAUUGGGACUGAGAUACGGCCCAGACUCCUACGGGAGGCAGAAGUGGGGAAUAUUGCACAAUGGGCGGAAGCCUGAUGUAGCAACGCCGCGUGCGGGAUGACGGCCUUUGGGUUGUAAACCGAUUUCGCCUGUGACGAAGCGUGAGUGACGGUAAUGGGUAAAGAAGCACCGGCUAACUACGUG